GACGAACGCUGGCGGCGUGCUUAACACAUGCAAGUCGAACGGAAAGGCCCUGCGUUUGUGGGGUGCUCGAUGGGCGAACGGGUGAGUAACACGUGUGUAACCUGCCCUUGACUUUGGGAUAACUUCACGAAACUGGGGCUAAUAUCGGAUAGGAUCUCCUGCUGCAUGGUGGGCAGUGGAAAGUUUCGGCUGUUGGGGAUGGACUCGCGGCUUAUCAGCUUGUUGGUGGGGUAGUGGCUUACCAAGGCUUUGACGGGUAGCCGGCCUGAGAGGGUGACCGGCCACAUUGGGACUGAGAUACGGCCCAGACUCCUACGGGAGGCAGCAGUGGGGAAUAUUGCACAAUGGGCGGAAGCCUGAUGCAGCAACGCCGCGUGCGGGAUGACGGCCUUCGGGUUGUAAACCGCUUUCGCCUGUGACGAAGCGUGAGUGACGGUAAUGGGUAAAGAAGCACCGGCUAACUACGUG
rnacentral:rRNA from 1 species